rnacentral:rRNA from 1 species
AGUGAACGCUGGCGGUAGGCCUAACACAUGCAAGUCGAACGGCAGCACAGUAAGAGCUUGCUCUUACGGGUGGCGAGUGGCGGACGGGUGAGGAAUACAUCGGAAUCUACUUUUUCGUGGGGGAUAACGUAGGGAAACUUACGCUAAUACCGCAUACGGCCUACGGGUGAAAGCAGGGGAUCUUCGGACCUUGCGCGAUUGAAUGAGCCGAUGUCGGAUUAGCUAGUUGGCGGGGUAAAGGCCCACCAAGGCGACGAUCCGUAGCUGGUCUGAGAGGAUGAUCAGCCACACUGGAACUGAGACACGGUCCAGACUCCUACGGGAGGCAGCAGUGGGGAAUAUUGGACAAUGGGCGCAAGCCUGAUCCAGCCAUACCGCGUGGGUGAAGAAGGCCUUCGGGUUGUAAAGACCUUUUGUUGGGAAAGAAAAGCAGCAGGUUAAUACCCCGCUGUUCUGACGGUACCCAAAGAAUAAGCACCGGCUAACUUCGUG